rnacentral:misc_RNA from 1 species
CACUAACCGUCCAAGCGUUAUUCGGUAUCACUGGGCUUAAAGCGUGCGUAGGCGGCCUGGAAGGUGAGAUGUGAAAGCCCACGGCUCAACCGUGGAACUGCGUUUCAAACCGUCAGGCUUGAGGAAGACAGGGGUGAUGGGAACUUAUGGUGGAGCGGUGAAAUGCGUUGAUAUCAUAGGGAACACCGGUGGCGAAAGCGCAUCACUGGGUCUUUACUGACGCUGAGGCACGAAAGCUAGGGUAGCGAACAGG